GACGAACGCUGGCGGCGUGCCUAAUACAUGCAAGUAGAACGCUGAAGGAGGAGCUUGCUUCUCCGGAUGAGUUGCGAACGGGUGAGUAACGCGUAGGUAACCUGCCUGGUAGCGGGGGAUAACUAUUGGAAACGAUAGCUAAUACCGCAUAGGAGUAGAUGUUGCAUGACAUUUGCUUAAAAGGUGCAAUUGCAUCACUACCAGAUGGACCUGCGUUGUAUUAGCUAGUUGGUGGGGUAACGGCUUACCUAGGCGACGAUACAUAGCCGAACUGAGAGGGUGAUCGGCCACACUGGGACUGAGACACGGCCCAGACUCCUACGGGAGCCAGCAGUAGGGAAUCUGCGGCAAUGGACGGAAGUCUGACCGAGCAACGCCGCGUGAGGGAAGAAGGGUUUCGGAUCGUAAAGCUCUGUUGUAAGAGAAGAACGAGUGUGAGAGUGGAAAGUUCACACUGUGACGGUAUCUUACCAGAAAGGGACGGCUAACUACGUG
rnacentral:rRNA from 1 species